rnacentral:rRNA from 1 species
AUUGAACGCUGGCGGCAGGCUUAACACAUGCAAGUCGAACGAAUGGCGGACGGGUGAGUCAUGCUUGGGAAUCUAACUUAUGGAAGGGGAUAAAUAAGGGAAAAUGUAGCUAACACCGCGUACCAUAGGCUGAGUCCAAGUGGGAGUAGGUAGUUGGUGAAGUAAAGGCGCACCAAGCCGACGAUCUCUAGCUGGUCUGAGAGGAUGACCAGCCGCGCUGGGACUGAGACACGGCCCAAACUCCUCAGGGAGGCAGCAGUUGGGAAUAUUGCGAAAUGGGGUCAACCGGACGUAGACAUGCCGCGUGAGUGAAGAAGGCCUUCGGGUUGUAAAGUUCUUUCGGUAGCGAGGCGUUAACUACAGAAGAAGCACCGUCUAACUCCGUGCCAUCAGCCGCGGUAAUAC